rnacentral:rRNA from 1 species
UAAUACGUAGGGUGCGAGCGUUGUCCGGAAUUAUUGGGCGUAAAGAGCUCGUAGGCGGUCUGUCGCGUCGAAUGUGAAAACCCGGGGCUCAACUCCGGGCUUGCAUUCGAUACGGGCAGGCUAGAGUUCGGUAGGGGAGUCUGGAAUUCCUGGUGUAGCGGUGAAAUGCGCAGAUAUCAGGAGGAACACCGGUGGCGAAGGCGGGACUCUGGGCCGAUACUGACGCUGAGGAGCGAAAGCGUGGGGAGCGAACAGGAUUAGAUACCCUGGUAGUCCACGCCGUAAACGUUGGGCGCUAGGUGUGGGGGUCCUUCCACGACCUCCGUGCCGCAGCUAACGCAUUAAGCGCCCCGCCUGGGGAGUACGGCCGCAAGGCUAAAACUUAAAGGAAUUGACGG